rnacentral:tRNA from 1 species
UUAAUUAAAGCCAAAUUAGAGGCAUCUUAUUGUUAAUAAGAAAAUUGAUUAUUUAUCUAAUUAAA